AUUUGUACAAGAUCCUGGACAGCUGCAAGCAACUGACUGUGUCGCAGGGCAGCGGAGAGGAGGAGCUGGCAGGGAUGGUCACUAUCCUGACGGAAUUCUCACCAGAUGAUCCGGGCGCGCUCUCCAGCCACGUACAGGUUGCGCUGCGGGCAGCACAGAGCAGUGGCGUGGACGUGAAGAACAUCCUGGAUUUCUACCGGCAGUGGAAGGAGAUGGGCUGAAGUGCUGGCGGAGAGUCGGGGGCUCACGGACCUCGGAAGAAACCUCGCCGAACGCCAUGAGAAAACACAAAACGCAGCCAAGGUGUCUCCGCUCUGAGCCGGUUCGGCUGCUGCUCCAUUCGGCGCGAUCUGACGCGCAAACCAAAUACCGCGGGUAGACAGGGGCUUUAAAACAACAACAACAACAACAACAACAACAACAACAAAAUCGACA